CGCGUGCACUGGUCCGGCCGGGCCUUUCCUUCUGUGGAACCCCAUGCCCUUCACUGGGUGUGGCGGGGAAACAGGACUUUUACUUUGAAAAAAUUAGAGUGCUCCAGGCAGGCCUAUGCUCGAAUACAUUAGCAUGGAAUAAUAAAAUAGGACGUGUGGUUCUAUUUUGUUGGUUUCUAGGACCGCCGUAAUGAUUAAUAGGGACAGUCGGGGGCAUCAGUAUUCAGUUGUCAGAGGUGGAAUUCUUAGAUCUACUGAAGACUAACUACUGCGAAAGCAUUUGCCAAGGAUGUUUUCAUUAAUCAGGAACGAAAGUUAGGGGAUCGAAGACGAUCAGAUACCGUCGUAGUCUUAACCAUAAACUAUGCCGACUAGGGAUCGGACGAUGUUAUUUUUUGACUCGUCCGGCACCUUACGAGAAAUCAAAGUGCUUGGGCUCCAGGGGGAGUAUGGUCGCAAGGCUGAAACUUAAAGAAAUUGACGGAAGGGCACCACCAGGGGUGGAGCCUGCGGCUUAAUUUGACUCAACACGGGGAAACUCACCAGGUCCAGACACAAUAAGGAUUGACAGAUUGAGAGCUCUUUCUUGAUUUUGUGGGUGGUGGUGCAUGGCCGUUCUUAGUUGGUGGAGUGAUUUGUCUGCUUAAUUGCGAUAACGAACGAGACCUUAACCUGCUAACUAGCCCGUAUUGCUCAGGCAGUACGCCGGCUUCUUAGAGGGACUAUCGG
rnacentral:rRNA from 1 species